rnacentral:rRNA from 1 species
GUGGGGAAUCUUGCGCAAUGGGCGAAAGCCUGACGCAGCCAUGCCGCGUGGAUGAUGAAGGUCUUAGGAUUGUAAAAUUCUUUCACCGGGGACGAUAAUGACGGUACCCGGAGAAGAAGCUCCGGCUAACUUCGUGCCAGCAGCCGCGGUAAUACGAAGGGGGCUAGCGUUGCUCGGAAUUACUGGGCGUAACGGGCGCGUAGGCGGACAGCUUAGUCAGAGGUGAAAGCCCAGGGCUCAACCUUGGAAUUGCCUUUGAUACUGGCUGUCUUGAGUUUGGGAGAGGUGAGUGGAACUCCGAGUGUAGAGGUGAAAUUCGUAGAUAUUCGGAAGAACACCAGUGGCGAAGGCGACUCACUGGCCCAAUACUGACGCUGAGGCGCGAAAGCGUGGGGAGCAAACAGGAUUAGAAACCCUGGUAGUCC